rnacentral:rRNA from 1 species
CUUACACAUGCAAGUCGAGGGGAAACGACAUUGAAGCUUGCUUCGAUGGGCGUCGACCGGCGCACGGGUGAGUAACGCGUAUCCAACCUGCCUCUGACUAAGGGAUAACCCGGCGAAAGUCGGACUAAUACCUUAUGAGGUUUUCUGCAGACAUCUAAUGGAAACGAAAGAUUUAUCGGUCAGCGAUGGGGAUGCGUCUGAUUAGCUUGUUGGCGGGGUAACGGCCCACCAAGGCAACGAUCAGUAGGGGUUCUGAGAGGAAGGUCCCCCACAUUGGAACUGAGACACGGUCCAAACUCCUACGGGAGGCAGCAGUGAGGAAUAUUGGUCAAUGGGCGAGAGCCUGAACCAGCCAAGUAGCGUGCAGGAUGACGGCCCUAUGGGUUGUAAACUGCUUUUAUGUGGGGAUAAAGUGAGCUACGUGUAGUUUAUUGCAGGUACCACAUGAAUAAGGACCGGCUAAUUCCGUGCCAGCAGCCGCGGUAAUACGGAAGGUCCAGGCGUUAUCCGGAUUUAUUGGGUUUAAAGGGAGCGUAGGCCGUGGAUUAAGCGUGUUGUGAAAUGUAGACGCUCAACGUCUGAAUUGCAGCGCGAACUGGUUCACUUGAGUAUGCACAACCGUAGGCGGAAUUCGUCGUGUAGCGGUGAAAUGCUUAGAUAUGACGAAGAACUCCGAUUGCGAAGGCAGCUUACGGGAGCACAACUGACGCUGAAGCUCGAAGGUGCGGGUAUCAAAUCAGGAUUAGAUACCCUGGUAGUCCGCACAGUAAACGAUGGAUGCCCGUUGUUAGUUCACCUAAGAAUUAGCGACCAAGCGAAAGCAUUAAGCAUCCCACCUGGGGAGUACGCCGGCAACGGU